rnacentral:lncRNA from 10 species
CUCACCUCCUUUUUGUGAACCUAUGAAAAGAAAAAUCACAAAAGAAACAAACAAACAAAUGAGAAAACACACCUCUUUGCUACAGGGUAACCUAGUCAACCUUUAAAUUAAAAAGCCACGAGUUUCCAACGAUCUGCCUCUGACUAUUCUGCAUGCUGCCUGACUCCCUGCUGAUAGCAGUGAUUCAGAAACUUCAUCUUAAGAAAGAAGGGCCUGGAACCAAAAGCAGCAAGGGAUACAGAGAAAACACAGCAGACCAUGAAAAGAAGUUGAGAUAGAAAAAGAGGAAAGAUGCAGGCUUACUUGUGUCACCCAUGGAGAUGCAGGAAGAGAAACCAGCUUUGAGUUUCUUACCUGGCCUCAACCACUUGGAAUAUAAACCACCUUCAAUCUAAAAGAAAAAAAAAAAUACAACUUUGACCAGUCAAGGGACAAGAGCCUCACUUUUGAAGAAACAGCGCAGUGUUCCAGUCCAUGUCCAAUCUACGUCACAGGUGAUGCACUAGUACCAGAAUUAGCAUUACAAACAAAAGAAAAGGUAGGCUUAGGCAAAUCCAAAGCAGAUGGCUUCUGCCAUGUUUGUCAACUGAGAAGGACCACUGAAAGAUGAAUCAUUAGUUCUGGAUACUAGUGCUGCAUCUCAUGCUAAUUUAAAUAGUUGUGUGGCCUUGGGUUAGUUAGGUCUCUGGGCCUCAAUUCUUCAUCUGUUUCUAGGUGUAAAAAGUCCCUUCCAGUGAAAAGAGCUGACUCAACCCAAUUUGGAGUUUCCGAAUCUUUGCCUAAAAUAGUAAUAUUGAUUCAAGCCUUGACAUAUGAAGCAUUUAAUUUGCUUGCUCAGGAUACCCAAAACCAGAUUUGGAGCUUCCAGAGUAUAACGAGUCAUUAAGAGAGAUUUUUAAAAAACAUACAAUGGAGGAGGCAAGCAUGCACAUUCUCUCUGCAUUGUGAUUGUCUAAACUGACAACAUUGGAAAAGUCAUAUUAAAUAUUUUUAUGUUAGUUCCUUUAAUCAAAUAAUAUAGCACUCCAGUUUGCUUUCUCCCUUGCCUGUCCGUUCUCCCUUAUAUAAUUACUUGUGACUAAAUUUUACCUUUCUCACUAUGGAGGAGACCAAAAAUGAUUUGGA